rnacentral:rRNA from 1 species
UACGGAGGAGGCAAGCGUUAUCCGGAAUUAUUGGGCGUAAAGCGUCCGCAGGUGGCACCUCAAGUCUGCUGUCAAAGACCGGGGCUUAACCCCAGAAAGGCAGUGGGAACUGAAGUGCUAGAGUGCAGUAGGGGUAGAGGGAAUUCCCGGUGUAGCGGUGAAAUGCGUAGAGAUCGGGAAGAACAUCGGUGGCGAAAGCGCUCUGCUGGACUGCAACUGACACUCAGGGACGAAAGCUAGGGGAGCGAAUGGG